GUAUGUAGUUCAAGUGGUAGAAUGCUUGCUUAGCAUGCAUGAGUCUUGGGUUUGAUUCCCAGUAGUACA
rnacentral:tRNA from 1 species